ACACUUUUUACGUAGCCCGGCUGCUCGAGUUUUUUUUGCUGGUUUACCGCGACUGACGACUCGUUUAAUUAAGAGUCCAUAUUAUAUCCACAGCUACAUUCACCCUGGAGAGAAACUAGUGAGGGAGACCAUCAGGACCAAGCUGGGUUUCCUGGGUCCAGAGGUUCGGAGAAACUUCUUCCUUUUCUUUCAUCACAGCUGUCCUGUGCCAGAUGUUCUGUUGACCGACUGAGAGAGACUUCAUUUAAGAAACACCAGGAAGACUGAAGCUCAUCGCAUUGAUCAAGCAGGAUACUCCCCAGAGGCUCCAGACUUUUACAUAAAGAUAUUAUAUUCAGUCCUGUAGAAAGUUAUAUAUUUAAAAAUAUAUGAUCCUCUCUGGUUACUCUGGUAUGAAUAACUCUGAAUCACUUUAUGUUAAAUAACACAUUAUCUGCAAAAAACUGUGAAAGAAUUCCAGAU
ensembl:lncRNA